AUGGGUGCUGGAAUAAGUGAGGGAGAUUCAUGUGGGACACACAAGCCACCUAGGCCCGCCCAGGGGGGUGGGUGCGCCCUGUGGGCUUGUGGCCCACUGGUGCUGCCCCUUGGUGUGUUCUUAGUGCCAAAAAUUCUUAAAUAUUCCAUAAAAAAUCAUACUAAAUUUUCAGGGCAUUUGGAGAACUUUUAUUUCUGGGACAUUUUUUAUUGUACGGAUAAUUCAGAAAACAGACAAAUAAUAGUAUUUUUGCUUUAUUUAUUCUCAGUAACAGAAAGUAAAAAGUGGGUACAGAAAGUUGUGUUUACUACAUUCAUUCAUCUCAUGCCCGUCAAAAGGAAUCCGUUAACAAGGUUGAUCAAGUCUUAUUAA
rnacentral:rRNA from 1 species